rnacentral:lncRNA from 1 species
GCCUCACCCAAGGCUACUGUUGCUGCUGCUGGUAAAAGUUCUAUUAGUGCUGUCUCUGGACAUGAACGUUCUUCAGGUCCUACCAUAGUUGAUGGCUUAGCACAGAGAAUGAGUGACCUCUGGGAAGCUCUCGAAAUGCCAGAUGACAGCAGAAAUAAAAUGGCUUUA